GCUCUAUUAGUAUUAAGCAGUACAGUUGACUUCCAAUCAACUAGAUUCGGUAUCAACCCGAAAUAGAGCA
ensembl:Mt_tRNA